rnacentral:rRNA from 1 species
AGCUCCAAUAGCGUAUAUUAAAGUUGUUGCAGUUAAAAAGCUCGUAGUUGGAUUUCUGGUCUAGUGCGCCUGGCCCACGGCCGUUAGGCUUGUGAGUGCCGGUGCGCGCUUGCCAUCCUUUCUAGUCAGCGCUCUGUCCUUUACUGGUCGGAGUCGUGGGCUAGAUCUAUUACUUUGAAAAAAUUAGAGUGUUUAAAGCAGGCUUGCGCUAUGAAUAUAUUAGCAUGGAAUAAUAAUUUAGGACUUUGUUUCUAUUUUGUUGGUUUCUAGGAAUGAAGUAAUGAUUGAUAGGGACAGUUGGGGGUGCUAGUAUUCAUCGGCCAGAGGUGAAAUUCUUGGAUUCGAUGAAGACUAACUUAUGCGAAAGCAUUCACCAAGGAUGUCUUCU